rnacentral:Y_RNA from 1 species
GGCUGGUCCGAAGGUAUUGAGUUAUCUCACGUGACUGUUCACAGUCAGUUACAGAUUGAACUCCUUGUUCUACUACUUUCCCCCCUCCUCACUACUGCACUUGACUAGUCUUAA